AGGGGGACAACAGUUGGAAACGACUGCUAAUACCGCAUACGAUCAAUCUCGGCAUCGAGGAUGGAUGAAAGGUGGCCUCUACAUGUAAGCUAUCACUGAAGGAGGGGAUUGCGUCUGAUUAGCUAGUUGGAGGGGUAACGGCCCACCAAGGCGAUGAUCAGUAGCCGGUCUGAGAGGAUGAACGGCCACAUUGGGACUGAGACACGGCCCAG
rnacentral:rRNA from 1 species